rnacentral:rRNA from 1 species
UACAGAGGGUGCGAGCGUUGUCCGGAAUCACCGGGCGUAAAGGGCGCGUAGGUGGCGCUCCAAGUCCAUGGUGAAAGCUCGAUGCUCAACAUCGAGUCGGCCACGGAUACUGGAGGGCUGGAGCACUGUAGGGGCAGAUGGAAUUCCGGGUGUAGCGGUGGAAUGCGUAGAGAUCCGGAAGAACACCGGUGGCGAAGGCGGUCUGCUGGGCAGUUGCUGACACUGAGGCGCGACAGCGUGGGGAGCAAACAGG